AUGUUUCUCGUUACGGGCUGGAUAGUGAGGAAUUUGACGAUGGAGCUGAAAAGCAUGGAAGAGUAUUAGAGUUUCGGCUAUAUCAGAGGUUAAAAAAUGAGUAGGGAGAAAAAAUGACUGAUACAAUCUAGAGCCCCAGGUUUACCCAACGUUCGCUCUGGCGUGAACAAGUUUAACUUGGAUAAUCUCUAUUAUGCAUGUUAAGAGGGACAAUUCGGGGGCAUUCGUAUCAAUGCGCAAGAGAUGAGAUACGUGGACUGCGUGGGGACGACCUAAAGCGAAAGCAUUUGCCAAGAACGUCUUCAUUAAUCAAGAACGAAAGUCAGAGGAUCGAAGACAAUUAGAUACUGCCCUAGUUCUGACCAUAAACUAUGCCAUCUAGCGAUCCGAGGGGGUAUUGUUCUCUUGUCGAGAAGCUUCCCGGUAACGAAAGUUUUCUGGCU
rnacentral:ncRNA from 1 species